CGGCAUUGUGCCUGGCUCUCGUGACAAUUCUCUUUACAAUGCUCUUUGGGUUGCACAAGCCCUUCUCCGUAAAGGAUCUGCAAAAACUGCUGAUAAACGUAUUCUCUUGCUUACAAAUGAAGAUGAUCCUUUUGGUAAUCUCAAAGGUGUCAUAAAAGUGGAUAUGAUGAGGACAACGAUGCAGCGUGCCAAAGAUGCUCAAGAUCUUGGUAUUACAAUUGAGCUUCUUCCACUAAGCCGG
rnacentral:misc_RNA from 1 species